UACAGAGGGUGCGAACGUUGCUCGGAAUUACUGGGCGUAAAGCGCGUGUAGGCGGAUGGGUAAGUCAGAUGUGAAAUCCCCGGGCUCAACCCGGGAACUGCAUUUGAAACUGCUCGUCUUGAGUACCGGAGAGGGUGGCGGAAUUCCUGGUGUAGAGGUGAAAUUCGUAGAUAUCAGGAGGAACACCGGUGGCGAAGGCGGCCACCUGGACGGUAACUGACGCUGAGACGCGAAAGCGUGGGGAGCAAACAGG
rnacentral:rRNA from 1 species